UACAGAGGUCUCAACCGUUGUUCGGAUUCAUUGGGUGUAAAGGGUGCGUAGGCGGUCGCGCAAGUCGGAUGUGAAAUCUCAGGGCUCAACCCUGAAACUGCAUUCGAUACUGCGUGGCUAGAGUGCUGGAGAGGAGACUGGAAUUUACGGUGUAGCAGUGAAAUGCGUAGAUAUCGUAAGGAAGACCAGUGGCGAAGGCGAGUCUCUGGACAGCAACUGACGCUGAGGCACGAAGGCCAGGGGAGCAAACGGG
rnacentral:rRNA from 1 species